AGUGAACGCUGGCGGUAGGCCUAACACAUGCAAGUCGAACGGCAGCACAGUAAGAGCUUGCUCUUACGGGUGGCGAGUGGCGGACGGGUGAGGAAUACAUCGGAAUCUACUUUUUCGUGGGGGAUAACGUAGGGAAACUUACGCUAAUACCGCAUACGACCUACGGGUGAAAGCAGGGGAUCUUCGGACCUUGCGCGAUUGAAUGAGCCGAUGUCGGAUUAGCUAGUUGGCGGGGUAAAGGCCCACCAAGGCGACGAUCCGUGGCUGGUCUGAGAGGAUGAUCAGCCACACUGGAGCUGAGACACGGUCCAGACUCCUACGGGAGGCAGCAGUGGGGAAUAUUGGACAAUGGGCGCAAGCCUGAUCCAGCCAUACCGCGUGGGUGAAGAAGGCCUUCGGGUUGUAAAGCCCUUUUGUUGGUAAAGAAAAGCAGCAGGUUAAUACCCCGCUGUUCUGACGGUACCCAAAGAAUAAGCACCGGCUAACUUCGUG
rnacentral:rRNA from 1 species